CUUUAAGCAAAAGACUAUAAAGCUUGACAGAGAGGGAGGACAUAGUCUGCCCCUUACUCUUUACCAGUUAAUGCUACCUUAGGUGUAUCAGGAGUUGGGAUUUCUCAGCACUGCUAAUGAAGAUCCCCUCUUAUAGUCCAAUAAGCUUAUCAGGACUUCCAGAGUCAUGACAUGAACAGUUUAAUUGAACCCAUCCACUCUGGGCAGGU